AUUUUUGCGAAAAUCGCCUUCUUAUACUCGAAACCAUAAAACAAGAUAUUUUUAGUUGAUAUUAGUUGAUAUCAAGUAUUCAAAGACGUUGUUUUGAAAGACCGCAUUUGAAUGAAGAUCACUUUUUAUUUUUACCUCUUCUGGUCUGGUUUUAGUCGUGUGAAAAUGUUGUGGCUGAUGAGAUUCUAGGGCUUCUUCUUUGUCGCAAUGCUCGCCAUUCUCCUCUACCCCUCCCUCCAUCCUUCCACCCCAUCGUGUUGCUUCAACAUGGGUGUGAUGGUCAUAGAUCUGGUGCGGUGGCAGAAAAUCAGGUACGGCAUGAGGAUGGAGAUUCAGAAGAACGAUUGAAUCUACGAAUUGGGUUCUUUGUCGAGACCUGAUAGCGACAUGCCCUGGACAAGAUUGGACUCCAAGAAGCCUUUGUCCUCUUGAUGCACUUUGGGCUCCUUAUGAUUUAUUGAUGAACACGUGCAAAGAGAUAUUAUAAAUCAUAGGUCCUUGAAGCUUCCCAAUAUCAUUAGAUGUAAAGAGCUACAUACUUGAGAGUUGUGGUUGCUGAGGUUCUUCAAUCACCUUGCUAGCUACUGCAUCUACUGUUAGGGCAAGUGAAGCAUUCAAUUGAAUAACAGAGUUGGCUGGAUCCAUUUUUCUUUUGCUAAUAGAGUACCUUGAAGCAUAGCAAGGAUUGAUUCAUGAUGGGCAAGUGGGGGAUUUUGUGGUUAACUAUACCGUCUGACUAUUCACCUGUUAAAUCUAAAUGCUUGAAGAGGGUGAAGCUUGCACUAACUUGUAUAGCAAGUAUUCUUGUGAUUAUGUGCUGAAGAGACUAAUGCUCUCUUUAUUUCUCUCUCACACAUACUAUUUGUGCUUCCUAUUUUCACUUCUGUUGUUUGAAUGAUACUUCCUAUAUUCAAAUAAUCAAUUAAAAUACAAUAUUUGUGUAGUAUGAUAUUGAUCUGUAUUAUUUUUAAGAAUAACAGUAACGGCUCGUGAUCAUAAUACUAGAGUAGAGAAAGUAAUGGCACAUUCCUUUUCAUUUUCAUAAUGUGAAACUGAAUUUAAGAUAUAUUAUGUAAUCAAUAAUCAUAAUAUAUUUUAAGUAAAAAACCUACAUCUAGAAAACUAAGUGAAUAAGACUCUGUUUAUUUUCUUCUAUGCUAAGGCCUAAGGCCAAUAUUUGCUAUUUGGUAUUUGCUCAUUUCAUUUAGUUUUUUUCAAGGCCAUACAGACAUACUGCUUUGUUUUGUUGAGAAAUCUUCUCUAUCUCUAUGUUAUCAGAUGAAGAAAAGAAAAACCAACUUGACUGGAAAUUAAGACGACAGAACCAGGCAAAUACAAAAAGAGUAAUGUGCACUUCUGAAGUUCGGGUUGAGGGAUUGGAGACCCUGGGUUAUCUUGAUAACUAGCAGAGCAAGGAGCACUUUACCGAGGAGGGGAUGCUCUAAAGUUUGAAUCAGAAGUAAGAUUAAUUUUUCCCUUCUAUUUUGUUAUAGGAAGCAAGAUGUUGAUAUUAUUAAAUGCAUAAUGUGGAUUUAUAUCACUAAAUUGAAUUAUUUGAAAUAAGUUAAAUAUAUUUCUUUAAUUUUAAUCUA